rnacentral:rRNA from 1 species
UGAGUAGGCGGUUGCAUAUGUCAGAUGUAAAAAGGCACAGGCUUAACUUGUGUUAGCAUUUGAAACUGUGCGACUUGAGUGCAGGAGAGGUAAGUGGAAUUCCUAGUGUAGCGGUGAAAUGCGUAGAUAUUAGGAGGAACACCAGUGGCGAAGGCGACUUACUGGACUGUAACUGACGCUGAGUCACGAAAGCGUGGGUAGCAAACA